GCCGGGCUGGCGGAAUGGUAGACGCAUGGGACUUAAAAUCCCUUGGGCCCAUGGCCCGUGCGGGUUCGACUCCCGCGCCCGGCACCA
rnacentral:tRNA from 1 species